AGUAACGCGUAGGUAACCUGCCUUGUAGCGGGGGAGUAACUAUUGGAAACGAUAGCUAAUACCGCAUAACAAUGGAUGACCCAUGUCAUUUAUUUGAAAGGGGCAAAUGCUCCACUACAAGAUGGACCUGCGUUGUAUUAGCUAGUAGGUGAGGUAACGGCUCACCUAGGCGACGAUACAUAGCCGACCUGAGAGGGUGAUCGGCCACACUGGAACUGAAACACGGUCCAG
rnacentral:rRNA from 1 species